GCGCCGUUCGCAGUUUGGGCCGUCAGUCUCACCGCGUUGGAUAAAAGCGAAACGGUGAAACCCUAGCCGCCACGGCCCAGUUCCCGCGACCCUCACUCUCCCGUCCGUCCGCCUCCUUCUGUGCGCCGCUGCCACGGUUUCUUGGUGCUCUGGGCAUCGUUUUCUUCUUCUUCGCAGAUCCUUCAGUUCCAGCAGCUGCAACUGGGGGUUUCCGUGGGGGACGGCGGACGGAUAAGCAAGGCCACCGCCUAGAGGUGUACAACGAGAUGCUCGACUGCAUGCCCUCCUACGCGUCGCCACCGACGGUGCGAUGGAGAUCUCGCUGGCCCUCCAGGACGUGCUCUGGGCGCACUUCAACCGCCUCCCCGCCCGAGGAUGGUGACGCACUAGCAGCUGCUCGAGGUCGAGAAAUGCUAGGAAGAGUAUGAAUUGUCUCAAGAACCUCUGAAGAAUGGCUUGUUACUGGUAUGUCUUGAAGAAAUCCAGUUAGCUCGUCAGACUGUCAGAUACCGUUGAUCGGCACUGCAAGAGGAAAAACUCACCACUUUUGUACAUACAGAUGGUGCUCAUUGCAGAAGUAAGGUGCCCUUACUUUCUGAAUCCAAAGAUUCUUGGGUAGAGAAGGAGUGCUACGUGUGCCUCUUGAUCGGUUACUACAAGGGAAGAUACAUGUUAGAGGCCAUCAAAAAGGCUAACCGCAAGCACUUCUUGGAAGAGGUGGUUAAUUUGUCUGUGAUGUGUAAUGUCAGUAGCUGCAGAUUAUAAAUAAUGAUUUUUUUGACUCCUUGUUGUGUCCAUUUUUUUGCAAGAAGAAAUUCUGUGUAUGCUUUCUGAAGCUCCUAAUGGCACUUGACUACUUGCUUCCUAAUCUUCAUUGCGCUUUGAAGGUUGUUAUACUUAUAACCUUUAUUUAUGUACUACUGAAAGGCAGUCAAGCAUAGUAACUCACCAUGUACUGUACUAUAUUGAGCUUUUCCAGUGUUCAAAUAUAAUCCUUUCAGAGGACCAAAAUAUAUGACUUGGUGAUUUUGGGAUGGCUAAAGUAUUGACUUUCCAUGAUUUGGGUUCAACAGUAUGGGUUCUUAGGUGCUGGAGACCGUAAAUGAUCGAUACAGCUAGAAGCUUGUUCAGACAUAUAGGGUCUUUCCAAAUCAGAUGGAAACGAGUGAUAUUGUUGUCGAGCCAUACAAUACAACUCCCUUUUAACUCUGAAGCGGCUGAAACUGAAUGCUGACUGUGUGGUUUUUCUUGACAAUACAUCUCUUAAUAGAAUUCUUGUCAACAUCUUCAUUUAGAAAAUUCUACUUUUCAACAAACAAACUCUUAUGUCUCCACUUCUAUGUCUGCAAGCACAACCUUGUUGAGGUAUCCCAGUUAUCUGUUCCACGAAUAAUGAUCUGGCUGGCCUGCUUGCCUUCAUUUAUCCCAACUCCAAGGUGCCACUUGUAAUGACAUGUUGCACUCCAUGGACCGUCGAAUGCCAGCUCAGUCCAGUGCUAUACACAAAAGAACAGUUUCCUUGAAGCUAUGAAUGUUGUCAUUUGCAGUUCUGUAUCUCAAUGUUGCAUCAGGUUGUUGUGAGUAUAUCUAUUUGUUAUUUGAAUGGAACAUUAAAUGCCAAAGUGUGUCGCUUGGGAUCAAAGACUUGACACUUCAGUCUGUACCGAGUUAAACAAUUCUUUGUACUACGAGGGUAACAAUUUGCUGACGUUUGGGGAGUUAUUUUACACCAAUUAUUUGUAAUCACUUCUUACUGGGAAUUUGUUUUCUUUUAGACUCUAUACACAAUUAACUUCCGAUGAAGCACCUUCAAGACUGAGCUAAUAAAAAUGGUCAGAUAUAAAUCAUCAGGCGUGUUUACAUUUCUAUAAGUUGUGAUGCCCACCUGGUGUGGUGACAGCAGUCUAUGUGAAGUCUAAGUUUGCCAACUUAUAUCCGCUUUUUGAUACGUGGUAUGAAGUUGAAAGAAACUAACACAUGUGAUAUCCCUUGCGUUUGUUGUACUAUAUACACAACAGCUUAUUAGUUUUGCUUGCUCUUCAUAUAUCCAUUUACCUUUCCAUCUUCAAAAUUGCAGAAUGCCAUCUUGUCUCACGUAUAUAUAAAAUAGCUACCUUACUGGUACUGCUAUCUUCAUUUUCAGAACUUCAGAAUGCUGAAAACAACCUACAAAUUUAUGCUGGGUCUCAAUCUGGUGAGACUGAAUAUUGUCGGCUUUACGGUAACAUGGACAAAAUUGUGAACACAACCAUCUGGAGAGAAGUAGCAGAACUUCUACGAAAAGCGCCAUUGCAGGCUCACAGUAGCAGUUGCGUGUAGAACUUUUGUGUUGUUGAUCUUCUAUGAAAGUGGGUUGGUUGCAGUUAAUGUCUUCUCAAACUGUAACUCCUAGAUACUUUUCGUGGCACCGUUGCAUGUAUGUUGUCACAGAAGAUUAAAAAUACAGUGAUCUAUUCUUUGUUUAUAUAUAGUGAUCUAUUCUUUGUUGA